AUCCAGGUUACAAGUCCCAAAUAGGACGAAACGCGCGUCGAACUGGAU
rfam:Schistosoma mansoni, Puerto Rico, WGS project CABG01000000 data, contig: 0167